AGGAUCUGAAGUUUAGGUACUUCACGGUUGGCUAGCUUGACAACCGUUGACAACAAAUGCCGCAGGAAGCUGUCACGAGACUAGCUAUGGUAGCCCGUAAGUGAUAAAAAAA